GAGUACUGAGUGACCCUGUGUCACCUGCAGAGCACUCCCCACUUCCUGGAGGCCUUGGAGCCUGAGCCUGUCACCCAUGCCAGGGGCUGCUUAAUGAAUUUUCUAGAACAAAGACACUCCCCUUCACCCUGAGGAAUUCUGAUACCACGAGCUGAGUUUUAAAACAUCCUUCGCCUCCUUACGUGGAGGCACCAUGUCUGGAUUUCCUCUUCAGGUGAAGUUUGCAUCCAGGUUCAUGGAGCCUAGGACUGGUGCAUGGGACCUCAGCAAGGCACUGCCCUGAGAGAACGUCUGGAACCUCUUGUUCCUCGGGUGAACACAGAGCCUCUGUGCCUUCUGCUCUCUGAGUGUGGUUGCUCAGCACUUUGAUUCUGUGAGUUGGAUCAGAAUCUUUCCAUGCAUUUAAAAAAAUUUUUUUUUCACUAAA